rnacentral:lncRNA from 1 species
UUUAACUUCUUGUAUAGACAUUAAUUAAUUUAUGACAUGACGACGUUCUAACAAAAAUUAAACCCCUAAAUUUGCAACUUAAAUGUUAAUCUUCAUUGGUUUUCAAAAAAAAAAAAAAAUGUUAAUCUUCAUUUAAAAAUUAGACUUUCAAAUAAGAUCAUGUAAUUACGCGUACAUCAUCAUGUCUAGGUUUGAGUUUCAAAUAGAUAGCCAAGUUCAUAUAUACUUGCAUUACAAUACUACAAAUUCAUACUUAAUUUUCUUAGUCC